rnacentral:sRNA from 1 species
CAAACUCGACAUUGACGCCACGGAGACU